UAGAGUUUGAUUCUGGCUCAGGAUGAACGCUGGCGGCGUGCUUAACACAUGCAAGUCGAACGUGAGUUCCUCUUCGGAGGAAUGAAAGUGGCAAACGGGUGAGUAACACGUUGGUGACCUGCCCCCCGGUGGGGGAUAACUCUGGGAAACCAGGGCUAAUACCGCGGAUGUCAAGACUGUUAGAGGGUCUUGACUAAAAUUACGAUGCCGGGGGAGGGGCCUGCGGGCUAUCAGCUAGUUGGUGGGGUAAAGGCCUACCAAGGCGCAGACGGCUAGGGGGCGUGAGAGCGCGACCCCCCACAAGGGAACUGAGACACGGUCCCUACUCCUACGGGAGGCAGCAGUGAGGAAUAUUGCCCAAUGGAGGAAACUCUGAGGCAGCAACGCCGCGUGAACGAUGACGGCCUUCGGGUUGUAAAGUUCUUUUCUCAGGGAAGAUGAUGACGGUACCUGAGGAAUAAGUCCCGGCUAACUACGUGCCAGCAGCCGCGGUAAU
rnacentral:rRNA from 1 species